rfam:Canis lupus familiaris chromosome 7, whole genome shotgun sequence.
AUACUUACCUGGCAGAGGAGAUACCAUGAUUACAAAGAUGGUUUUCUCAGGGUGAGGUUUAUCCAUUGUACUCUGGAUGUGCUAACCCCUGUGAUUUCCCCAGAUGUGGGAAACUCAACUGCAUAAUUUGUGAUAGUGGGGAAUUGUGUUUGUGUUCUCCCCUG